AGAAUCAACGCUGGCGGCGUGCCUCAGACAUGCAAGUCGAACGCGAAAGUUCCCUUCGGGGGGCAAGUAGAGUGGCGCACGGGUGAGUAACACGUAGGUAAUCUACCUUCGGGUGGGGAAUAACAACCGGAAACGGUUGCUAAUACCGCAUAAUGCAGCGGCACCUAAUGGUGACAGUUGUUAAAGCGGGGGAUCGCAAGAUCUCGCGCCUGAAGAGGAGCCUGCGGCGGAUUAGCUAGUUGGUAGGGUAACGGCCUACCAAGGCGACGAUCCGUA
rnacentral:rRNA from 1 species